CGAAGGGGCUAGCGUUGCUCGGAAUUACUGGGCGUAAAGCGCACGUAGGCGGCUUUCUAAGUCGGGGGUGAAAUCCUGGAGCUCAACUCCAGAACUGCCUUCGAUACUGGAAAGCUCGAGUCCGGGAGAGGUGAGUGGAACUGCGAGUGUAGAGGUGAAAUUCGUAGAUAUUCGCAAGAACACCAGUGGCGAAGGCGGCUCACGUGGCCCGGUAUGACGCUGAGGUGCGAAAGCGUGGGGGAGCAAACAGGAUU
rnacentral:rRNA from 1 species